UGAGUAACGCGUGGGUAACCUACCCCAAAGUCCGGGAUAACAGCGGGAAACCGCUGCUAAUACCGGAUGCCUUUACCUUGGGGCAUCUUGAGGUAAAGAAAGGUAACGCUUUGGGAUGGGCCCGCGUCCCAUUAGCUAGUUGGUGAGGUAACGGCUCACCAAGGCGACGAUGGGUAGCCGGCCUGAGAGGGUGGACGGCCACACUGGGACUGAGACACGGCCCAGACUCCUACGGGAGGCAGCAGUAGGGAAUAUUGCGCAAUGGACGGAAGUCUGACGCAGCGACGCCGCGUGAGCGAUGAAGGUCUUCGGAUCGUAAAGCUCUGUCCUUGGGGAAGAAGGCGAAAGCUUGACGGUACCCAAGAAGAAAGCCCCGGCUAACUACGUGCCAGCAGCCGCGGUAAUACGUAGGGGGCGAGCGUUGUCCGGAAUUACUGGGCGUAAAGGGUGCGUAGGCGGCCCUUUAAGUCGGAUGCGAA
rnacentral:rRNA from 1 species